GGACCCCAGCCGAGAAGGAGAGGCUCCUUUACCCCAACCUCUCCAAACAGAAGGGGAAUGGAGUCGGUCUAUACCUCUAGGCUCAGCAGGUAUUUGUGAAGGGGGCGGGGGACGCAGACAGGAAUCCGCCCGAGCUCGUGGGGAUGACGUUCUACUGGGGAGACGGAGACAUGGAUGGUGACAUGUGUGGCAGGGGCUCUCUUGUCUUCAGGAUGGCAUCACUGCCGUUUCUGGAACGAGGAAAUGCCGCCACACCUCACUGAAGAGGAGACUAGGAGAGGGCUGAGGUCUGUGAACAGGGUGUUAGCAGAAACUGCCCCGGACCCAGAAGGGACAUGCAGGCCUUGGUCCUGCUAA
rnacentral:lncRNA from 1 species